UUUCGGCCAGGUAUUCUAUACAUGCAUACUCUAGUGGAAAGUUCAGUGUGUCAGUAAUUUCCAUCAUAUAGUCAUGUUCUAGAUAUUCAUGUCCGUUAAGUAAGUUCAGUUGAUCUGUAAGUAAGUUCAAUUGAUUUGUACUCGUAACUUAUCAAGCGACAUUCGAGGAUGUAUGAUUCUAAGAGAGAGAUAAUGUAACACCCCAUAUUUUGGACUAGAAUGGAAAUUCAUCAUUCAUAUGUGUAGAUGUUCCAAAUGCCUUGAAUCUUAUGUAAAUUUAGUGUGUUAAUCAAUUAUGUAGUGUAGGAAUCUAUUUGAUCAUGAAUUAAGAUCAUAGAGGUCCUGUAACUUAGGUACAAGUUGAAUGUUUUCCUAUUGUUUAAGAUUUAGUGAGCGUCAAAACUUUGGUCAACUUUAAUCAUCCAUAACUCCUUGUAUAUAUUAUAUUAAAGGACCUAAUAUAUAUCUAAUGAAAUAUCUUUGAAUUAUCUUUCCAACUAUACAAAUUUUGCUUAAAUCCAAAAUCGGAGCAAGGAUUUAUGCCCAUUUUACUACAGUAUGUCAGGCUGGGAAACUGAGUGGCGACAUUCGUGAUAAGCUGUGACAAGUGUGAUGACUUAUCACCAAUGUCGUUAGCCCUGGGCAGAUUUCCAACCCCAGUGAUGAUAUUUCGUUAUAAGUCGUCACGCCCAUGAUGGCUUAUCACCUAUGUAGUCAACCUUAACCAAAAAAUCAAGAUUUCACCCUUUUGUGACGACCAUUUGUGAAGACUUAUCACGAGCUUGACGACUUAUCACGAAUGUCGUCAGCUAUCUUUUCCCAGCAAUUAAGGGAUAUUUUUACAAGGGUAUUUGGGUCUUGUCCCAUCUUUUGGUGGCCUCUAUAAGUAUGAGAACCCCAUCCAAACCCUUAUUUCAUCAUUUUCUCUUCUAAUUCUCUUAAGAAAAUAUCUAUACUUUCAAUUCAAGAACAUUAAUUUUCCAAAAAUCAUCCAUAAAUCUUCAAUAUUUCUUUAAGAAUCAAAUUCCUCAUAGUGUGGGCUUUGAGAAUCAUUUAUUACAAGUGCGGAUAGAGUCUCAAGCAUUACAAUUCAUCUGAUUUCAAAGAUUAAUGUAUGCAACUAUUAAUUCUUGGGUGAAAGGAACCCAAGAAGCUCAAAAAUCCUUUUUAAAAAUAUAAAGAUAAUAUUUUUAUGAGUUUUUAUGAUUUAUGUGGUGUGCAAUUGAAGUUCUUGAUGUGGUUGAAAUUAAAUUCAUGAUUUGAUGAUAAAGACUCAAGCUUUGACCCUAGUAUGUGUUGAUUUUAUGGUGUUCAUAAUGAAAUCUCUUCAAGGGGCAUGUUGAAUUAUGUAAUCAUGUUAAUUGGUGUAAUGAAUUGUUGUAAGUCCAACAUGAUUGAAGUGUGAUGUUGUUAUAUGUUGACUGGCAUUGGAAAUAAUCAUAUUUUUCCAUGUUUAUUGAACUAUGAUCAUCUCAUGUUGAAAUCCUUGUAUGAUGAAUUAUUUGAUGGAGUCAUGAUAUUUAUAAGUAAUAAUUGUUGAAUAACUAAAGAAUGCUCCCUACAUGUUUGAUAAAAUGCUUGUAUGAAGAAAAUUGGGUCAUUAUGACAAUGUUGACUAGAAAUCCCCAAGUUUGAUAUAAGCUAAGCAUGCCAAGUAUUUAUUGCAAGAUCUUGUGGAAUGAGUUAUGAAGUGUUGUCUUGCAUUUCCUAUAAAAAUACAUGUUAGUAUUUCCAAGUUCUUAAAGUGAUAUUUUAUUGAGUAUAUGGUGAAUCUAUUACUAUGAUAUGGUUGUUGGUCAUGAAUUCAAAGAGUCGAGUCCUGUCAGUUUCCCUCCAUCGAAUCCUGGGGAUACUUGUACCCAAAAAAUAUUGCUGUGUGCCUAGAGCCGAGUCAGUCUCCAAAAUAUCUCAAUCGUGAUAUGAUCAAUAGAACUCAGUUAAUGACUGAAAAGUAAGAAAACAUAAUAAAUCUCAGUACUCAGUAUUCAGUUCAGAUUCUAGUAAAGCCCCUGUAUGUUACAUAACUGAGUUCUAUUUAGACAGAAAGUAGAAUUCAGACAUAUUCCGUCAUAUAACGAAACCAAGUAAACUCAGUCACCUCAGUCAACUAAGAAACCCAGUAAUAGAUUCAGUUCAUUUGAAGUGAAAGUUCUAAGAAUUAGUUCCGAGUCUUUCAGUUGGGAGUACGAGCUAGCACUGAGCUAAUGCAGGGAUGGCGGCUCCCCAUCAGAGAGACAGAGUUGUUAAGAGUAAUCCCUAAACUUCAGAACUGGGUAGCCAAUGCAGGAUGUCGGAGUCACCCUUCAAAAAAAGGCUUGUCACCCGUCAGAGAGGCUUGACUACUAUACUGCCUUAGGCUUGACUUUCUACGAGGGUCUCCCGUUAGAUAGGAUUGACCAGAGAAGUCUUUACCUAUGGCACGGUAUUGACACCCUUCCAGCUGGGGUUACAGGGUGGACCCCACUAGUUCGGGUUUGGGGCAUGUCGGUUAAGUGAGAACUCUUACAGUUGCAGUUUCAAUAUCAGUUUUCAGAGUAGAACUCAAAAAUCGGGACUGUCAGAUACAGAAAUUGGGACUGUCAGAUACAGUCUUCUAUCUUAUUAAGGAACUUAGAUAGUUCCAGUGAUCACCCAUUAGAUAGGCCUGGUCUCACAUUAAGUUAUUCAGCAUCAAUACUUCCAUAGAUCACCCAUUAGAAAGGCUUGAUCUCAAUCUCAUAUUCAUCUGAGUAUUUUCAUUAUCAGAAGAACCAAAGAUCACCCAUUAGAUAGGCUUGAUCUCAAAGUCAAAUUUAAUUAUUCCUUAUCAUUAUAGAUGACUUAUUGAUCAUCCGCUAGAUAGGUUCGAUCUCAGUUUCAGCCAGUCGAUACUAGCAGGCUUAGGCUCAGUUGUUGAUAUUAUUUGACUCAGUUAUACAGUAUUCCAGAGUUAGUCAACUCAGAUAUCAGGUUUAGUAGCUCCAGAUACUCAGAAUCUUAGUAUGUUCAGAAAGUUUAGCUUGACAGUAUGUCCAGCAUCAGUUAUCAGAUUUAGUCUUAGUAUGCUUAGAGUCAGUAUGUGCAGUAUGUUCAAUAGUUACAGAUUCUCUAUAUUUGUUAAUCCUGCUCUUGCAUAUCAUUCCGUUAAGUAAUUGUUCAUGCAUAAGCCCUUGGAUUUAACCUUACUUCAUUUGCAUACUCAGUACAUUCUAACGUAUUGAUACAUUUGCUCUAUGGUGUUGUUAUUUCAUUUGACACCAUAAGUUCAGAGGAACGAGAUCCAGAGUAGCCUUAGCAGUCUAGAUUCAGUCAGCAGCAGUAGAAGUAUAAGAGAGUCCUCGUCUUUCGAGGAAGAUUAUUAUUCCAAAAUAGUAUUAUAUCCAGUUUAUUUUAGUAGACGGAGUUAGUUGGUAACAUGUCCCAUCAACUCCACGUUUUAGACAGUUAGAGGCUUUUCGGACAGUUGUAUAAGUAUUCAGUUUGCAGAAUUAUGUAUUUUAGAUAUUUUGAACCUUAUGGAAAGUUUUCACCAAUUUUCCAUAUGUGUUUUAUUAUAUUAUGCAGUGAACUGGUACAGAUAUCAGAAGAGGGUUAGCUUAUGGUCCUUCAGGAUCAUGAGCACCAUGUGGCAUUUCAGUUAAAGAAAAUUGGGGCGUUAUAGGCACUAUUGGUUAGAGUUCUCGAGGUAUUACAUGAUAUGAGGACCAAGACACUACCAAGUUCUAUGUUUGAGCAUUGCUUGGACUUGGUUGGUGUUAGUAGAUAAGAUGUGCCCUUAGGGGCUUUUGUUGUGGAAGAGGCAGAUAGUUGUCUCGAUACGAAUUUGAGUUCUGAAUUGGAAUUUGUGUUAAGGUGGAGAUUCAUAGAGUUUGUGAGCCGAAUUUUAUUAUCCAGCCUGAAAAGAUCGUAAUGCAACCUAUGUUAGUAAAACUAUAAUUGUAAGAUAUUUUGGGGGUUUGUGGUGGUAGCAGAGGAAUUGGGAUGAUAGAGGUAUGGACUUAUAUUCUUUUGGGCUUAGGAUUUCCUUUUAUGCACAUAUUAUUUAAGUGUGAGUUAGAGGGUUGGUUUUCUAAUGGUUCUCGAUGUGUUAUAGAUACUUUGGCUCCUCUUUGUAUUUCUCUAAUAUAGUGAAUUUCUCCUCCUCAGCACGUGGAUUUUCCCAUCCAGGGUUUCCACGUAAAUCUGUGUGUGUUCAUCUUGUUUUUCUAUUUCUUAUCAUAUUGAUUAUUCCUCUUUGAUUUCCUAACAGUUCCUAUGUGUAAUUUUGAUACCCGUAAAUUAUUCCUUUAGGGUGGAUCGAUCACACGAUCUUGUGGUGUAAUGACCUUGGUAGUGUAUGACAUGUGUGUGGAGCUGAUCAUCAUCUUGGGUUUUGAUUGAAUUUCACCCUAUAUUGCAAUUGUGGGAUGUCAGAUCAAGGUUGUGACUCUUCCAACAUUGUUACGUGCAUGGUUUUUUUGAGUGAUGGUCUGGUUUGUGGAAAAAAUCUAAAGAUGCUUGCUUUUACUUGUGUCUUCUUGUUCUUGAUAUAUGGAUGUUAGGCUUUAUAUGGAGAAGAUUAAAGAAUAUAUCUUUUUGCUUGUAAUGGUCACUGCCUACUUUUUUUUUUGGUUUCCCAAGGUAUCCCACAGCCGGCAGCCGUGAGACUAAUCCUCCGUUCCUCGUUCAGCGCAUUUUACGGUAGGGAACUGGCCACAGAGUUUGCUCCAUUCGCCAGAGGCGGGGAUCUAACCCCCGACCUCUUGCUUAAGGUACAUAGUGCUGAACCACUAUGCCAACUCUGGUGGUUAACUAUAACAACUACUUCAGUAAUAAUUGUUUGUAUCUUAGUCUCAACUCAUUUGAAACGAAUCUCUAGCUACUUCAUACCUCCUUGUAGGGUAACCACAUGGAGUGGUCCUAUGGAGAGGUGCACCUUGGCUACCCUCACUUCUAUAUUUUGUAUACUGUGGGGCGCCCUUUAAUAAGGAAGUACUAUAUGGUUAAGACUGACUUGCUUAGACUGCUGAAUAACAUUCACUUUAGUGAGCUGUAGGACAAACUACAUUCAAGAGGAGAAAGGAAACUUUGAAUAGAAGGAUCAGUGCCCGUAUGGACACACUUGCGCGAAUUUGGGUAUUGGCUAUAAGGGAGAAAGAGAAAGGAAACUAUACCCAACCAAGGAUGGACGUAAACUCGUAAGCCACCGAAGGUAGGGAUAAUCGUCCAGGUCUUAUUGUGAAAGAAAAAAGCCGCCCCGCCACAGCAGACGGGUUGCUUUCUCUGUCGUCGCUGGGGAGCUCUUGGCGAGGAGACCUUAGGAUAAGUUGCUAAAACAAAGGGGAUGGGAGGAUCGACCCGUUCAGAUAAUUCCAAAGAAAGACUGUUGGCAGCAGGUAGAGAGAUUUUUUUUCCUCUUCAAAACACAAGGAAAUGCAGGAAAGGUAGAGCUCGGCAGAGGGUUUGAGAAUAGGGUAGGGUCCUGUCCUUAAGAUUCAGAUAAGAAAAGAGUUCCAAACCUUUAUGCUCCGUACAAGUGCUGCAUACAAGUUCCGUCUAGGAUGAUUGAGAAAGAUUCAACCAAUUUGAACCGCUAACAUCACAAUAGUAGUAGUGUAAAGGCCGUAAGUCGGGGGGCGGCCAUAACAUAAGGCUAUUACUUUCACACCUCUCUCUCUCUCUGAGAGAGUGAUCCGCUGCGUGAGCAACCCGACUGUGCCUUACAUGUGCUCUACAGGCCGCACGUAAUCUUUCUUCCCAACGAGCCCUUUUUUUUAUUUGGAAGACGGGCAUUGCGUUCGGUUCGAAAGGCAUGGUUUUCAGUAUGUCUCCAUAUAGGGCCCCCACUAGUCCGGCUAGCUAGUGAGCGGUUCUUUCGGGCGGGAAGCAGGCCAGACCCUACAGGCGGGCAUCUCCCGCAACGCAAGCACCAUUGUUCGACACCACCCGAGAAGCA
rnacentral:lncRNA from 1 species